AUGGACUUGAUGAAUAUUUCCCCAAAUGAUCAAAGCUGAACAAACUGAGCGAUCUUUCUCUCUUUGAGAACCAAGCCAGAAUUCUGAUCCAU
rnacentral:snoRNA from 1 species